rnacentral:rRNA from 1 species
UACGUAGGGUCCGAGCGUUGUCCGGAAUUACUGGGCGUAAAGAGCUCGUAGGUGGUUUGUCGCGUUGUUCGUGAAAACUCACAGCUCAACUGUGGGCGUGCGGGCGAUACGGGCAGACUGGAGUACUGCAGGGGAGACUGGAAUUCCUGGUGUAGCGGUGGAAUGCGCAGAUGUCAGGAGGAACACCGGUGGCGAAGGCAGGUCUCUGGGCCACUACUGACGCUGAGAAGCGAAAGCAUGGGGAGCGAACAGG